rnacentral:rRNA from 1 species
CAGCAGCCGCGGUAAAACGGAGGGUGCAAGCGUUAUCCGGAUUUAUUGGGUUUAAAGGGUCCGUAGGCGGACUUAUAAGUCAGUGGUGAAAGCCUGUCGCUUAACGAUAGAACUGCCAUUGAUACUGUAAGUCUUGAGUAUAUUUGAGGUAGCUGGAAUAAGUAGUGUAGCGGUGAAAUGCAUAGAUAUUACUUAGAACACCAAUUGCGAAGGCAGGUUACCAAGAUAUAACUGACGCUGAGGGACGAAAGCGUGGGUAGCGAACAGGAUUAGAUACCCCGGUAGUCCCUGUCUCUUAUAC